UUUAUUUUGUACUGUGUAUCACUUUGAGAUUUAAAACAACCAUUAGGCAAAGAUGAUAGUCAGCUGAAUUAAGCACCCGUGAAUAGUGACCGACUGUUCUCUCAGGUGUCUGUCUUUGUACAGAAGGUGUUUGUCAGAUGGGAUCAGGCAUCCUAUUCUGUUAUCCUGUUGUUGUCAAAUGUAUACAGAGAAACAAAUAGCAGUUUUGAGAUUGCUUUAGUUUGGAGAGUUUUAUGUUUACAGAAUAUAGAUUAUAGUAAAGAAAAGCUAUGGAAGUUGUACCUUAAUUUAAUAAUGAUAGUUACUAAUAUUAUUUACUAGCUUUCACAUUGAGUCUUGAGGCAAGCAUGGCGACUGUCACGGGCGCUGCUCACAUCUGAGUUCACAGAGAUGGGGGUAUCCCAGGCACAGCCACGGCAGGCUGUGAAGGAGGACGACUCUGAUUGGAUGGAGGGAAGAGCAUAGUGUGUAAAAUGAAAUGAUUCAGAGUCAGGCACAUGGCGAGAGACUCUCAGGAUCAGAGGAAAUGUUCUUCCUGGAAAUUGAGGAAAAAUCCCAGGCUUUAACUAAGAAAUGCAGGGAAGGAGGAUAAAUUCAUGGGGCAGUCAGUGAGGUUUCUGGCCAUAGUAGAGAAGAAGGGAGGAGUUUACUGCCAGGAGAGACUCUUGAAUUUUUAAGCGAAGAAGAAGAAUGAUUUACAUGGGGAGAAUGCAUAGAGUAGAGAGGCUGGGAAAGUCAGUAGUUGAAAGUAGGAGGAAGAAGCAGCAGAAAGAGAAGGUUUAAAGUCAGGUAAGACCAGGACAAGGAGGAGGAGGAAGGCUGUGGUCUUGUGAGUGUGAGUAGGGAUGGGCUGUGGUCAUGUGAGUGUGAGUAGGGAUGGGCUAUGGUCAUGUGAGUGUGAGUACAGAAGGGCUGUGGUCAUGUGAGUGUGAGUACAGAAGGGCUGUGGUCAUGUGAGUGUGAGUAGGAGGUGGUCUGUGGUCAUGUAAGUGUGAGUAGGGAUGGGCUGUGGUCAUGUGAGUGUGAGUAGGAGGUGGUCUGUGGUCAUGUGAGUGUGAGUAGGGAUGGUCUGUAGUCAUGUGAGUGUGAGUAGGAGGUGGUCUGUGGUCAUGUGAGUGUGAGUAGGAGGUGGUCUGUGGUCAUGUGAGUGUGAGUAGGAGGUGGUCUGUGGUCAUGUGAGUGUGAGUAGGGAUGGGCUGUAGUCAUGUGAGUGUGAGUAGGAGGUGGUCUGUGGUCUUCUGAGUGUGAGUAGGAGGUGGUCUGUGGUCAUGUGAGUGUGAGUAGGAGGUGGUCUGUGGUCAUGUGAGUGUGAGUAGGGAUGGGCUGUAGUCAUGUGAGUGUGAGUAGGGAUGGGUUGUGGUCAUCUGAGUGAGUAGGAGGUGGUCUGUGGUCUUCUGAGUGUGAGUAGGAGGUGGUCUGUGGUCAUGUGAGUGUGAGCAGGGGUGGGUUGUGGUCAUCUGCUGUGUGUGAUACACUGAAUAGCAGGGUUCAGUUGUUACAGUAUUGAUGGAAACCGUGUGACAUUUGGGAAGAUGCCUGGGUUAAGAAGUAGCCCCACUACUUGAUAUGACUAACUGAGGGUUGUGGAAAAAUGCCUUCUGCCCAGUGACUUAGUCUGAC
ensembl:lncRNA